CCUAGUACAGUGGCUAAACUUGACCCUUACAAAUAACCAAGGGACUCAAAUUGUCACAUACCCUUCAAACCUCGCAUCACAAUUCGGGUAAAAAAGGAUCCGAAACCGACAAACAAAUACAACAAUCUUAACCCCACCAGUUCAUCCAAUUAGGGUUUUACAUUGGCAAAAACAACAUCUACAAUGGGGAAAUCAAAAACCUCAGGGAAAGACGCCCUUUCCUGCGGCUCUCUCUUCUUCGUCGACAAAUCCAGAGAUUUGAGCCUGCGCCUGUUCAAGUGUUGCUAUCUGAAGAGAUUACCGGUCCUUUGAGGAACCUGAAAGCAUGUUGUACCCUAGCUAGAGACCGAUACAAGAGCUUUGAGAAAAGAGGAAUAAUUGUCCCUACAGUUAAGAGUGGCAUUAUUGCAUACCCGUUAAAAAGGAUUUCUAUUCAUUAGUAUUUCUAAAAUCAUAUCUUAAUUGGCAUUUGGCAAUCAUCAUUGAUCAAAGCUGUGCCUCCUGUUUGUUUUAUGGGCUUGUUGUUUAGAUCAUGGUGUUCUGCG